rnacentral:lncRNA from 1 species
AUGAUCCAAUCCAUUUUCUUUGAUUCAAGUUACACCUUUCUCUCAAUCGGCAAAAGUUUCCAUCAUGAAAUCGAUCAUUGAUAUCUUUGCAGAUUUGCAGAUUAUAUGCCCUAAUUUUGUGCCUUUAUUAUCCGAACUUGAUAGGUCUUCAAAUAUUUCACAUCAGCCGUGUGUUGUCGUGAUUCCAUAUACAUCGAUGGGUGUUUGACGAAAUGCUUUGUUGGCUUUCUUUUUGUUAAAGAUGGUAAAUUGCAUCAAGAUCAGGUUUCGUGAAUCAGAUCAGGCUAUUGAGAUGUUGGUUGACUGUGGAUGUGAGACGAACGCCAGUGACGGUGUCGAAAUACUCGCUGGUCUUCCACAUGACUUCUACAAGUAGGUACACAAGUUUUUAUGGUAAUGAAGUUGAAUUUUUAAUCAAUUAACUGAAUGU